rnacentral:lncRNA from 1 species
UUUAUAUCUAAAAACGUAUCGUCCCAAAACGAUGUCAUUUUGAGAUCGAAAUUUUUAGACACAAAAUUACGUCAUUUUGAGCAAAACACACUUCAAACGACGUCGUUUUCGGUUCCUGCAGCUCAGUAGGCACUUGACUCGCCAUAGUAACAGGGUCCCCGGUUCCUAUUCGCGGACUCCGUAACGGGAAAGGUCCCUCUGCAAAGAAUUUGCUUCCGUCACAGCUGUAGCACAGAACACGUAAUUAACAGAGUUGAUGCAGCGACAUGUACCCAACAAUUUUCUCAUCUGGCUCCCCUGUGAGACACCUGUCAAACUCUUCUCCGUGGACAUUUGCUAUUACGUUAACCCCUGUAACAUUAUAAUCUCUUUCGAUUGUUUUCCUCCUAAUUUUUUUGUCAUUUAAAUAAUAGGACCGUGUCAAUAGUGUUUAGUUUACAAUGAAUUGGUCCUAGCUACAAAGUUUUGAGUCCAACAGGAGAUCAUUUAGGCUAUGUUUGGUACUAGUUUUUUAAUUAUUUUUUUUUUAAGUUUAUAAACAAAAAGGUCAAUCAGAGUUGAUUUUUUUUUUGUUUAUUCUAAAGUAAAUUCAGAAAAAAAUUGGCUUUUUCAGUGACAAACUUAAAAAAAAGUUUGGCUUUUAAGCAUUACCAAACAGAGCCUUAACUUUAUAGUUUCCUAAAUUAUCCUUAAAAAUGGCAUAAAAUGUUUUUGAAAGUAGAUGCAACAUGGUAAAUUAUUACCUUUUUAAUUUGAUUCUCAGUAUACCAAAUAUAUGUUCUCUUACAAAUUUAGAAUCCUCAAAAUGGCCGAACAGAACAAAGAGAAUACAACUCCUAUUUAGACUUAUUUAUUUUCAGGUUUAUCAUGCUUCAUGUUGUAUCUAUUUUUAAUUAUGUCAUACCUAUUUAAUAAAAACUUGUGCCACCGCUCCAGACUACCGUGUUAUCUAAGCCGUUUAUGUACCAACGCCAUUGACUUUCAUACGGCUAUAAUUUGAGUUUAGAAUUGUUUUCUGGCUAUGUUUAACUUAGAUGAUAGAUUUAUUUAGAUUUUUAAUAUAACAGCUUUGAAUUUUGAGUUUUUUUAUUUUUAGUGAAUAUUUUUUAUGGUUCAAUCAAAAUGUAAAAAGUUUCACCAAAUUUGAAAAUAUAACAUUUUGAUCAAAUAGUAAAAUAAUUACUAAAAAUAAAAAUGCUCAAAAAUCAAAACAGCUAUAUAAGCAAAAAUAUUUAUGUCUAAACUAGUGAUUUUUACUCUAUCAUUUUCUCUAAUUGUAGUCCUUUUUUAUCUAUAUUAAAGUAAAAAAUUGCUGGAAUACACAUUACAUACCAUUUGUACCCAUAAUGUAGCUGAGAUUGAGUCACAUCAUCAUUUUUUACCAAUUAAAUUGGUCGUUUUGUAGGCUAACUAGAUUAAAAUAUAAUAUAGCCACCAAUUCUCAUGAAAUUAAUUGAUUCAUAACAUAGAUAUAAAUUUUAUAAAAAUGUUUUAUGAUUAUAUACAUAAAAAUUCAUAAAACAAGUUAUAAAGAUUCAUAAAAUUUACCAAACGUACCAAUAGAAUUUAUAACAAUCUCAUAACAAUGAGUGCAAAAAAUUAUAACAAAACCAAUACAAUUCAUAAUUAAAUAAUAAAAUUCAUAAAAGCAAAUAGAUUCCACUUUAAUUGGUGGGCUCUACAAUAAUUAAUGAUUUGAAGUGAUUAAUUCAUUGGUUGAAGUCACACUAAUUCAUAACAAUAACCAUAAACGUUCAUAAUCAAACCAAUAAAAUUCAUAAAAGUAACUUGAUCCUACUUAAUUGGUGGGUUACACGACAAUUAAUGAUUUGAAGUGACUAAUUCAUUACUUAAAAUCACACUAAUUCAUAACAAUAACCAUAACCGUUCACCAUCAAACCAAAAUAAUUUAUAAUCAAAUUAAUAAAAUUUAUAAAAGCAAAGUUUAACUGGUGGGCUCCACGGAAAUUAAUGUUUUAAAGUGAUUAAUUUAUUAAUUCAUUAUUUGAAGACACAUUAAUUCAUAACAAUUGCCAUAAUCAAUCAUAACUAAAUCAAAUUAAUUCAUAAUCAAACUAAUAAAAUUCAUAAAAAUAAUUUUAAUUGGUGGGCUCCAUGAUAAUCAAUGUUUUGAAGUGACUAAUUUAUUGUUUGAAGUCACACUAAUUCAUAAAAGUAAUCAAAAUAAAAUAAUUCAUAAUCAAACCAAUAAAUUCAUAAAAACAAAUUAACACUAAUUCAUAAUAAAAGCCAUAAUCAUUUAUAACGAAACUAAAAUAAUUCAUAACUAAACCAUAAUAAAUCAUAAAUUAUUUAUGAUUAUAUCUAUAAGAAUUCAUAAAAUAACAAUAAAGAUUCAUAAAACUUAGUAAACAUAUUAAUAUAAUUCAUAACAGAAUAUCUCAUAACAAUAGCAAUAAAAAUUCAUAAAAAAUCAAUACAAAUCAAAACCAAAUCAAUACGAUUUAAAAAAGAAAGUUUAAUCGGUUGUUGAAGUUGCCAUUAUUAGUUAUUAAUUUAUUUAAAAACUUAGAUUAAUUUUUUUUAUUUAAUGACUAUUAAAUGUAAUACUAAAGAUACAACCCAAAUAGAGGAGUGUACUGGAGCAUUUUUCUAAAAUGAAUUCACUUAAAUAUCCUACAAUGUAAUAAAAAUAUUUGAGUAAAAGUGAAUAUUUGAAUAAAUUCAUACUAAUAAAGAUAAAAAAAAUAGUGCAAUUAGGUUGUUAUUGGAUAAAGAAUUUUGUAAGAGAAAAAGAAAUAAAAAUAAAAAUAAAAUAGGUAAAUGAUCCAAUUGUAUCAAGCAGAUAAAUUAUUUUACAUUUUUAUUUUAAUUUCUUUUCUUUCAUCCAAUAUGGAAUCUAAAUGCAGUCUUAGAGAAGAAGAAGUGCCAAAAUCAUAUAUCUUAUAUGCUGCAAUUACAUAUGCGAUGUGAAGUUGAUCGUUAUUGUAGAUGGACGAAUAUGAUCACCGUAAACAUAAUUUUAAAUAUUAAUGUCGUCAUUAGUGAAAUAGUAAAAAAUAACUAUAAAUAUUGUCCAAAGUAAAUGAUUUUGAGAAUUUCUUUGAAAACGAGGAAUUUUAUGUAAUUUCUCUGAAUUUUAAAUUUUCUAUAAACUCUAGAUUGUAUAUUAAAAAUCAUCCAAAUUUUGAUUGUGAUCUGAUACCAAAUUCUCGUUUAAAUUUGACGAAUUUCAUAUUAGGCUCAACACUAUUAACGGAACCUCGAAUCAG